rnacentral:rRNA from 1 species
GAUGAACGCUAGCUACAGGCUUAACACAUGCAAGUCGAGGGACCGGCGCACGGGUGAUUGAAACGUAUCCAGCAUGCCCUGUACUCGUGGAUAGCCUUUCGCAAGAAAGGUUAAUACCCGAUAUAAAGGAUGGGGAUGCGUUCCAUUAGGUUGUUGGUGAGGGAAUGGCUCACCAAGCCUUCGAUGGAUAGGGGUUCUGAGGGGAAGUUCCCCCGCAUUGGAACUGAGACACGGUCCAAAAUCGGACGGGAGGCAGCAGUGAGUAAGACUAUGGAAGGGGCGCUAGCCCGGACCAGCCAAGUAGCGGGAAGAAUGAAGGCUUAUGGAUCGUAAACUUCUUUUAUAGAAGAAUAGGUAUUAUAUGAAUAAGGAUCGGCUAACUCCGUGCCAGCAGCCGCGGUAAUUC